rnacentral:rRNA from 1 species
AGUGAACGCUGGCGGCGUGCUUAACACAUGCAAGUCGAACGAGAACGGAUUAUAGCUUGCUAUAAUUGUCAGCUAAGUGGCGCACGGGUGAGUAAUGUAUAGGUAAUAUGCCUCUUACUAAGGGAUAACAAUUGGAAACGAUUGCUAAUACCUUAUAUUCCUUUUAUCAAAAGAUAAAAGGGAAAGAUUUAUUGGUAAGAGAUUAGCCUGUAUUGUAUCAGUUAGUUGGUGGGGUAAUGGCCUACCAAGACGAUGACGCAUAACUGGUUUGAGAGGAUGAUCAGUCACACUGGAACUGAGACACGGUCCAGACUCCUACGGGAGGCAGCAGUGGGGAAUAUUGCACAAUGGACGAAAGCCUGAUCCAGCCAUGCCGCGUGAGUGAAGAAGGCCUCGGUUGUAAG